UAUCCAUGUUGUGGUAGACACUUUUUCAGGAUUGCAAAUGCAAUACCAGCAGCAAAAGAAACAGCCCAAUAGUCACUGAAUUCCUUAUACAAGCAUUUGCAAUCCUGGGUGUGCCACAAGCAAUGAAAACAGACAAUCGACCUGCUUAAAUUUCUAAACAUUUUGCACACUUUUGUGCUGUUGGUUUACAUGCUAUUAGCAUACCUUUUAAUCCUCAAGUACAGAGAGUAGUAGAGAGGAGAAACGGACAGUAUGACGCUCCUCCAAAAACAAAAGAAAGGGGGAGUCACAGGCAACCCUAGAGAACUUAUAAAUCUAGCUUUUUAUACUAUUAAUUUCUUGAUUUUUCACAAAGAUGUACUAGCUCUGGCAGGGUAGUGUCCAUUGCAAGGGACUCCAUCUUUAGAUAAUCGCCAGGUGAUGUGGAGAGACCCAGAAAGUUGUGAAUGGAAGGGACCAGAGAGGUAAACUGCUUGGGGAGAGGGUUUCUUGUAUCUCCACAGAUGCAGAAGGAUUCAGAUGGCUGUAAUGGGCUUUGCUUAUUUGCUUUGUCCAUCAGAGAGAGAUGAAAGGAAGGAGAAGACCCAAGAAACAUUGGGUGGUUCUGUUGCUGACUGUGCUCACCACUGAAUGAGCAUGGCAGUUAUGGCGUUUGACUCAUGGACAUCAAAAAUUGUAGGACUUCAAAACCCUCAGGAAUCAUUGGAUUCUCUGAGACAUAAGACUGUUGCAGGACUUCAAAAUCUGCUGGAAUCAUUGGAUUCCCCACCACAUCAAAAGACUGUUGCAGGACUUCAAAAACUUGCGGGGAUCAUUGGAUCCCCUGACAUGUGAUGCAAUGGACAAUAGAUUGGUUUUGGACUAUCUCUUGGCUGCUGAAGAAGGCGUAUGUGUGACUGUUGUUUACAUACCCUCCUUCUAGGACUUCUGGAAAUCUUUUACAACACUAACACUAUGUUGAUUCAUAUUGUUUAUUAUAUCACUACUUGCAUGUACAAUUGAUGUUUCUUGCACCACAUGAGCCUGCACUGGUUGUGGGGGAGUCAUCACUAAUAGCCUGUGCAUUAUUGAUAUGUGCUUGUGUAAUACCUCCCAUGCUGAUGGGUUUGUGCAUACCUGUUUCUAAUAAAACCCUUCAGCCCAGAAACCUGUUAGCAAUCCCCACUUCCCUUUGGUGUUUUUCAUCUCCCUUCCUGAGAUGUCAGGGAGGGUAUGAUCAUCUCCUUUUUAGUGCUUUCACCUCCCUUCCUGAGAAGUCAGGGGGAGCGUGAUCCCCUCGUUUUGGGGUUCUCACCUCCCUGAGAAGUCAGGGAUGGCGUGACCACCUGUGUUCUAAAACAAAAGAAAGCAGGAGAUGUAGAGGGCUGAAACUCUUGAGUCGAUGCACUGAGGUCAGGACAGCUGAGCACUUGAGGCUAACUAACAACUGGAUGAUACUCUAUGGGCAUAUACUUGGAAAAUGAUCCUUCCCACUAUCCUGUGCUGGCUCAAUGAUUGGUGUAUACAGAGAAAUGUAGGAGGGACUGGGGGGUGGAGUAAGAUGAGCAAGAGUCACUUUGGCUGUAGAGGAGGAAAAAGGAAGGUUGCAGAGAUCCUGCUUCCAACCCCUUCACUUCUACCCCUAAAAACCAAGAAUAAAGACUAAGGACUUUUGCUUAUCCUGACUGGCUGAUUCUAAGGUAUCCAGGGUGCUAACGCAGUCAUCACAAUAAACCUUAACAAUGCACAGUGUAGGAAAACCUUUCAGAUGAAGGAACUUGUUUGAUCCCAGAGAAUUUACACCUGAGAGAAAAUUUAUGCAUGCACACAGAUUGUGGGAAGGCCUUAUUUGAGAAAACAAACAAACAAACAAAAAACUUAUGCAACA
ensembl:lncRNA